rnacentral:lncRNA from 1 species
UUUGACAUAUUGUUAAUGUUACCUCCAGAUUAUAUCAUGUAUAGCAAUAAUAAUUGUAUGUACAUGAACACAUCUACUUGGACAUAGAAAGUAGUAUAUGUUUUUACUCCCUCUUAUGUUUUAAUUAGUUAGAAGUUUUUGCUGUUAGAUUACUCUCGGAUACCAAAUUAAUCAUCGUUUAGUUAUUCUCAUUUCACUAGAUAAGCUAGGUGUCAUAUAUAGUUUCAUUGGUUUAAUUAGUUAGUUGUAUAGGUAAUAUUGUAGUAUCCUGUGCAUCCAUAGGGUCUACAAAAUUUAAUCGUUU